rnacentral:misc_RNA from 1 species
GGUUGCGGCUCAUCGUUUGGAAAAUCGGACUGUGUUUCGUUUUAUAUGCCGGAUGGAAUUCCAGAAGGAUAUUAUAUCCUUGGUCACUAUUGUCAGCCAGAUGGUGAGCAUAUAACCGGUUAUGUUCUUGUUGCCAAAGACUUAUCUAAUGUCCAAGAUUCAGCUUCAAAGCUCCCGGCUCUUCAAAAGCCUCUGAAUUACACUUUAAUUUGGAGGUCGGACUCGCAAUACAAUGGAGGUGGUUAUAUUUGGAUGCCAAAUGCACCAGUUGGUUAUAAAUCGAUAGGAUGUUUGGCUUCUGUUGAGCCUAAUGAACCUGAUCGUGAUGAAGUUAGAUGUGUCCGAGCUGACCUGACGGAAAAUUGUGAGGCCUCUGAAAUGAUAUUUAGUUCAGAUUCCUUUUUCCAAAGGAAACAAUUUCAAGUUUGGAAAACUAGAC